rnacentral:rRNA from 1 species
CAGUAGCCGCGGUAAUACGGAGGGGGCUAGCGUUGUUCGGAAUUACUGGGCGUAAAGCGUACGUAGGCGGCUUUGUAAGUUAGAGGUGAAAGCCUGGUGCUCAACACCAGAACUGCCUUUAAGACUGCAUCGCUUGAACGUCGGAGAGGUGAGUGGAAUUGCGAGUGUAGAGGUGAAAUUCGUAGAUAUUCGCAGGAACACCAGUGGCGAAGGCGGCUAACUGGUCCAUAACUGACGCUGAGGUGCGAAAGCGUGGGGAGCAAACAGGAUUAGAUACCCGUGUAGUCCCUGUCUCUUAUAC